rnacentral:tRNA from 4 species
UUGGGUAUCGCCAAGCGGUAAGGCACCGGUUUUUGAUACCGGCAUUCCCUGGUUCGAAUCCAGGUACCCCAGCCA